UACGAAGGGGGCUAGCGUUGUUCGGAAUUACUGGGCGUAAAGCGCGUGUAGGCGGGCCGUUAAGUCGGGGGUGAAAGCCCAGAGCUCAACUCUGGAAUUGCCUUCGAUACUGGCGGCCUGGAGCAUGAUAGAGGCGAGUGGAAUUGUGAGUGUAGAGGUGAAAUUCGUAGAUAUUCGCAGGAACACCAGUGGCGAAGGGGACUCGCGGGAUCAUUGUUGACGUUGAGACGCGAAAGCGUGGGGAGCAAACAGG
rnacentral:rRNA from 1 species